UCAAAAAAAUGAAAACUUGAAUUUAAGAGUGAUAUCGCCAAAACUUGAACCAAUUUGAAAACAAGGGUUCGGCGAUCCGGGCGAGCUAUAGCGCGUUGGAUUCGUCUUUCAAUUCUAGACAAUACGUAUCUUUUCCUUUUUGCUAUUAAUUGUGUACUUUUGGUGUAAAUUGGUAAAAUGCAGGC